rnacentral:lncRNA from 1 species
AGCCGCGGUUGGUGGCAGUUUCAAGCAAUAGGCCACCGAUCCUAUAUGCUUUUCUACAUCAAACAGGCCAAAUUAUUUGGGUCCCAGUUUCUCAUUGGGUUUCUUGGCUAGGGAACUGAGACAAUAAGGACGAAGCUUGAUGUACACCAAUUCCUACCUCAAAGUGAAUGUCUCGCCGUUGACGGUCUGCAGCCUCUUUCAUCCUUUCCUGAGCAUGAUGCAAAUGAGACUUCAGUUCAUCCAACAUGUUAUCUCUGGCUUGCAACUGCUGUUCUACUGAUGGUACUGCGGUGGACUGGCUGCCAUAACGGAUUAAUGGGGGCGGAUCCCUGCCAUAAACUGCCCAGAAUGGGGUUGUCUUUGUGGAAGAAUGAAAGGUGGUGUUGUAUCAAUAUUCUGCCCACGGAAUCCAACUGCUCCAGCUCUUUGGUUUGUCAUAGGUGAAGCAUAACCACUUCAUUCUGUCCAUCAGUUUGCCGGUGAUAGGCUGUGCUCUGGUGAAGGAAAGUUCCCCAUAGGCAAAAUAAUUCUGACCAAAAAUGACUCAGAAAUACUUUGUCAUGGUCUGAGACGAUGGAUCUUGGAAUGCCACGGAGCUGACUAUUUCCUUGAUGAAGAUGUCAGCUGCCCUCGCUGCUGUGAAGGGAUGUUUUAAUGUCAAGAAAUGAGCAUACUUAGGCAAUCGACCACCAUCAAUAAGAGAUUAUAACCCCCAGAAUUUGGUAGCCUUUCCACAAAAUCCAUUGAAAUGUUCUCCCAUAUAAGGUGGGGGCUAGGCAGAUGUUGUAGGAGGCCAACUGGAUAGAGUGCAAGAUUCUUACUCUGCUGGGCAAACGGGAUAUUCUUCCACGAACUUCUUGAUGUCCCGCUUCAUACCUAACCAAUAAAGUUCAUUAGUCACUUUUUUAUAUGUACGAAGAGAGCCAGAAUGUCCCCCCGAUGGGCUACUGUGAAAUUCCUUUAGAAUGGCCCAGAGCAGUGGUGAGGAUUGUGGUCGUGCUAGAUACCCUUUGUAAAGCAACCGUCCGUGUUCUACUGAGAAUCAUAGAUAUACAUCUCGAUCUUCCUGCAACCCCUUCUUGAUUUUGGAGAGGAAAGGAUCGUUUUCAACCUGAGCAUUGAUCACCUGACUAUCCAUGACCACCUCACCGGAAAGGAAUGCCAACUCAAUAGGGGAAGGUAGGCGCAACAAUGCAUCUACAGCCUUAUUCUCCAUGCUCAGCCGGUAAUGGAUCUCGAAGUCGUACCCCAUUAGUUUUGUCAACCACCGCUGGAAAUCUUCUGGAAUUACCCGUUUUUCUAAAAGAAAUAUCAGACUCCGUUAGUCAACACGCACUACAAAUUUCCUCCCCAGCAUAUAGUGCCUCCAUUUUUGGACAGGCAGGACAAUUGCCAUCAACUCUCUCUCAUAAUCGGACUUAUGUUAAGAUUUCAUGAAUAAAACCUGACUGUAAUAGGAAAUAGGGCAUUGUUCCUGCAUAAGAACCACUCUUAACCCGUAACCAGAGGCAUUUGUCUCAAUAAUAAAGGGCUUUGUAAAAUCUGGUAGAGCUAAUACGGGAACAAUUGUCAUUGCUAACUUCAGUUUCUAAAAUGAAGUCUUCGCUUCAUCAUUCCACCUAAAAGCAUCCUUCUUUGAUUGCCGAGUAAGAGGCCAUGAUAUCGCCCCAUAGCCUGCUACAAACCUCCUAUAGUAUCCUAUCAACCCCAAAAAUCCUCGGAGCUCUCGAAUGUUACAGGGAGUUGGCACAAAAAGAAACUCCAGAUAUUUGAUAUCUUAUUCAAAAUUGUAUCAUGGCAGCUACUUUGCAAGGUCGGCUGCCACUCCUUCAGCUGAGACUAGGUGCCCCAAAUACUAUAUCUGGUGCUGCCCAAAGUGACAAUUCUAUGUUCUAUGUGUUAGGUCUGAAAGUGUGAUUGGCAAUUCUGUAGACAUAACGGGCGUAAUUAUAUGUUUACAAAACUCAGGGA